AGGGUUUGAUUCUGGCUCAGGACGAACGCUGGCGGCGUGCCUAAUACAUGCAAGUAGAACGCUGAAGGAGGAGCUUGCUUCUCUGGAUGAGUUGCGAACGGGUGAGUAACGCGUAGGUAACCUGCCUGGUAGCGGGGGGUAACUAUUGGAAACGAUAGCUAAUACCGCAUAACAGUAGAUAUCGCAUGAUAGCUGCUUGAAAGGUGCAAUUGCACCACUACCAGAUGGACCUGCGUUGUAUUAGCUAGUUGGUGAGGUAACGGCUCACCAAGGCGACGAUACAUAGCCGACCUGAGAGGGUGAUCGGCCACACUGGGACUGAGACACGGCCCAG
rnacentral:rRNA from 1 species